GCUACGGGUGGCAGCAGUGGGGGAUAUUGCACAAUGGGGGAACCCCGACGCAGCGACGCCGCGUGAAGGAAGAAGGAUCUCGGGAUGUAAACGUCUAUCAGCAGGGAAGAAAAGGACGGGACCUGACGAAGAAGCCCCGGCGAACUACGUGCCAGCAGCCGCGGUAAUACGUCGGGGGCAAGCGUUAGCCGGAUUUACUGGGUGGAAAGGGAGCGUAGGCGGCAGUGCCAGUCAGAAGUGAAAGCCCGGGGCUCAACUCCGGGACUGCUUUUGAAACUGUCCAGCUUGAUUGCAGGAGAGGCCAGUGGACUUCCUAGUGUAGCGGUGAAAUGCGUAGAUAUUAGGAGGAACACCAGUGGCGAAGGCGGCUUGCUGGACUGUACCUGACGCUGUGGCUCGAAAGCGUGGGGAGCAAACAGGAUUAGAUACCCUUGUAGUC
rnacentral:rRNA from 1 species